rnacentral:ncRNA from 2 species
UAGGUAUUUGGAAACUAUGAUAAAUUCUUUGUAUUUGGGCACUUUAGGAAUUUGGAGUUAGCAGUGCAACCGACCAAUAUAAA